GCCGAAGUGGCGGAACCGGCAGACGCGCGGGUUUCAAAAACCCGUCCCCGUAAGGGGGUGAGGGUUCGAGUCCCUCCUUCGGCA
rnacentral:tRNA from 1 species